rnacentral:rRNA from 1 species
UACGUAGGCAGCAAGCGUUGUUCGGAGUUACUGGGCGUAAAGGGUGUGUAGGCGGUCUUCUAAGUUUGGUGUGAAAUCUCCCGGCUCAACUGGGAGGGUGCGCCGAAAACUGGGAGGCUAGAGUACUGGAUGGGAGAGUGGAAUUCCUGGUGUAGCGGUGAAAUGCGUAGAUAUCAGGAGGAACACCGGUGGUGUAGACGGCUCUCUGGACAGUAACUGACGCUGAGACACGAAAAGCGUGGGUAGCAAACAGG